AAGGAAAGGAGUGUGUAACCAGAAGUUUGCGCCCACGUCGUACCAAGUUAUUUCGGAAGGCUAAAUAUGCGGACGGAACAGAAGACAUCUGGCGUUUACUAAAGAAAGGGAAAGGUUGAUACAGAGCGUACUUAGGAAGAAAAUGAACAAUCUGAAUCCGAAGACCCAAAUGAGCAAUCGUUGCUGUUAAGUUCUCUACGCAAGACACGUCCACAAAUGUCUGUCGGACAUAGUACAUCGGGCCUUUUGACCGGAUCAACUGUAUUGGAGCGAGAUUCUAGCGCAUUCUUAAUUGAUGGCAUCGUUACAACUCAUACUUUUAUCAAUAGAGUGGAGAUUAUGAAUGAGUUCAUUACACAUCCUGUUGUUUACUGAUUUGAUAUUUUGUUGUAUAAAACAUAACAAAUUUACAAAUUAUAUAAAUUUCUAUGCCUAAAA